GACGAACCGUGCGAACGUUGUUCGGAAUCACUGGGCUUAAAGGGCGCGUAGGCGGGCCGCCAGGCCCGUGGUGAAAUCCCCCGGCUCAACCGGGGAAGUGCCGCGGGGACCGGCGGUCUGGAGUGAGAUAGGGGCGUGCGGAACUGUGGGUGGAGCGGUGAAAUGCGUUGAUAUCCACAGGAACUCCGGUGGCGAAGGCGGCACGCUGGAUCUCUACUGACGCUGAGGCGCGAAAGCCAGGGGAGCGAACGGG
rnacentral:rRNA from 1 species